AACGAACGCUGGCGGCAUGCCUAACACAUGCAAGUCGAACGAGACCUUCGGGUCUAGUGGCGCACGGGUGCGUAACGCGUGGGAACCUGCCCUUAGGUUCGGAAUAACUCCCCGAAAGGGGUGCUAAUACCGGAUAAUGUCUUCGGACCAAAGAUUUAUCGCCUUUGGAUGGGCCCGCGUUGGAUUAGCUAGUUGGUAGGGUAAAAGCCUACCAAGGCGACGAUCCAUAGCUGGUCUGAGAGGAUGAUCAGCCACACUGGGACUGAGACACGGCCCAGACUCCUACGGGAGGCAGCAGUGGCGAAUAUUGGACAAUGGGCGAAAGCCUGAUCCAGCAAUGCCGCGUGAGUGAUGAAGGCCUUAGGGUUGUAAAGCUCUUUUACCCGGGAUGAUAAUGACAGUACCGGGAGAAUAAGCUCCGGCUAAUUCCGUG
rnacentral:rRNA from 1 species